ensembl:processed_transcript
AGUCGCCCCCGCACACACAGGCCGCGCCACGCGCACAUCCCAACCUCCAUGGGUGCUGAAUCCUGCUGACUCACCCACCACGAGCAGGCUGCGCUUUCGAGAUGCCAAAAGUGGGUACAGGCCCUGGGGAUACAAGCUUGUCAAAGCCGGUCAAGAAUACGCGAUUCCGAUGACCCUCCUGCGCCAGGGCCACUAGCCAUCGCCAGGCUACCUCGGCAGCUCCAGGGCAACCAGCUCCCAAACUCCCCAAGCUUGCCCUCUCCCUCCCCGCCCCCACUCACCGGCACCCGGUCCGGGUAUUUCUUCCUAAUCUUUUCACCUUCCUUUUUCCGAUACUCGAAGGGGUGGUCCUCCUUAUACUGGAACUUCAUGAUGGACCUCAGGAUGUAGGGGCUCCCCGGACGGGGCCUGCUGCGCGCGCUGAUGACUGCGUCUCGCGUCUGGCCACCCCCAGUCAAUGUCAGCCUUAUCACAAUCGCUCCACCCGCGUCAGCUCCCACGCGCCAGUCGCCGCACUACGUGGCUAAACGUCCAGAGAAGGACCUGGAGAUCUCGCGGCCUGAAGGUAAAGGACCACCAGGUAAAGAAAUAGGGUGGCUUUUCCCAAGAGCUGGGAACACAAAAACACCAGGGCGGUGCUGUGACAUCACGACGCCCCACCCCCGCUCCGCCCCCGGCGCUAAGGACUUGCUGGAUCCGGGUGGACCGAAGCAUUGUUUAUUUGUGUGUCUUCUUUUCACCUAAGCUUUUCCUAAACCACUCCAUCGAAACGCAAAAAUCAUGUAGUCGGGUUUUUUAUUUUUGAGAAUUGAUAUUAAAGGUAAUUUGUUAAUCCAAAGAAUGCUCUAACAAAUGUCUUCUUCCCUCCCCUUCAUGUUUCUUGUUUGAUGCCCAAAACAAACACACAGGAAGAAAAUCCAGCUGUUUCCAGAGCAAUGGAAUCAGAAGUCUGGUGUUGGAAAAGCUCCAGGCGUCACGAGAUUUGUAGCCCAGGCCUAAAUGUCCUGUGCUUGCAUUUUGACCUUUGCCUGGCACCCAUGGCUGGCCUGCCUUCUCUGCCCCAACUCCGAGUCCUUCUGACGGGUGUCCUUAUGUUUGGAUCUAUGCUGGAAUUGGUUCUAAGACAACAUAAACAGAGCAUGACUCAUGGAUUCGAAGAAGUGUAAGGGUGAAGAACAUGAAGUCAUCAAGGUUAGAAGAAGCGAUGGCCGCUAAACUCCAGACUUCACGCACGUUCAAGGAGAGAUGAUUCCAUUCAUUUUAUAAGGUUCGCCAGAAGUGAGGUUGUCGAGUUCUUGAAAAUACAGAGGUCAAACUGGUUAGGUGUCUAUGUUUCCCCAACAGUACUUUCCUCUGGGGUGGGUAUCACCUGUAGGGUAGUUGUCCUGAUGAAAAGGCCUUAUUGGGCACCAAAAGCUCUGACUGGCAUGCUGGUGGAAGACCCUCAGUAGUAUAGAGUCAGCCAGCCCAGGCCCCUCUGGCAUACCAGGUUUCCAUCUUAAGACUCUUUGGGUCAGCCUCCUGAUUCUACUGGCAGCAACUGCAGACCUAUAUCUUGGGAACAUCGGAGAUAAAGUUCAAGGAUGCUUUGUGCUGUGAAAAUAGAAUGACUACUAACUGGUACCGGGCAAGCAGCCCUGUUGCCUGAUUUUUAUGUACAUGACUCUUAGUGACUUGGCUAUAAAAACUGGACAAAAUAAAGUGAACUGAAUUUAACUGGCAAAACAAGAACAUGACAUGCAUAGCCCACUUAUUGGUUUUCUCCUGGUAAUCUUUCCUACAUAUGAAGACAAAUGAAUUGAUAUAUAAUAUUGUUGUGUUUAUUUUAAUUAUUUUCAGGUUUUAUUUUCAAAUUGAAAAUAGUUUAAUAC